UAGUAACUGUCGCAAAAUACAUAAAACUUUUCAACAGCGUAUAAUGGCUAUUGUAGUGUAGAGCUACUAUACUAUUGAAAGUAUAGAGAAUUUAAUGCUUCUGAUUUUUUAACCCUUUGAUCAAGAAUUAUACGGUUGGGAUGAUUACAGUGUUUCCCACAGGAUAAUAGUAUUAAUCCAAGAUUAGAAGUGAUUAAAAUGACUGAUUUAAGAGUUAAAACGUCGGAAGCAGCAGAUCCUCUAUACUUUCGAUAGUAUAGUAACUCUACUCGCCUAUUGUACGCACGUAGUAAUUAAUAUAUUUU
rnacentral:lncRNA from 1 species